UAACUGGCUCUAAAGUUAAACAACACAAAGAGGAGCAGGAUCCUAACUCAGUGAACUGCGUAGUACUGUACAGUUCUCUGAUAGGGUAGUGGGAUAUGGUGAAAUGGUGGAUCCUCAGGUUGUGUAUUCUACAGUAAGACCCUAACAGUGUAUUGGAGCAGAACAAGGUUAUACACUGUUCCUACACUGUUUGGAGCAGCUUUAUAUACAUUAUUAACACAGUAGUUCAUGAAUAGUAAUCACACAUCAUGUAGCUUUACUUUGUACAUAUAGUAAACAGUGUAGUUUUGCAUGUAGUAAACAGUGUCAGUGUCAUCAAAUGCAAAAACAUUAGAGGCUGUUUUGAAGAUCUUUAAACACUGUUGUAACUGAGCACUGAGUGUGAUGUGUCACAAACUGGAUUAACCCAGGGGGAUUUGAUGUGACCAAUGCAAGGGUGGAAAGUGAGUUAUUAUAUUCACACUGAUUCACAUUUCAUACCUGUAGUUUACUGAUCUAGAAUUUAUUUUUUUGCAUGUAUUUUGGGCCAGCUUGUGUUCAGUCUGUAAACAAAACCCUUUAAACAGAGAGGUGUUCAGAUUAUCCACAGACCCAGUUGUCAUACCAAAAGGUUAAUUUAUUGUUAUUGGUAAACACUUCAGCAAUGGAGCUAAAGACUUAAAAUCUGCACAUCCUUUUGUAUUUUUAAAAUGGACUAUUUAGUCCUUUAAAUAUGAGUAGUUGCUUAUUUGUUAAUUUUUAUGGUUUGGUUUUAUUUGUAUUUGUCUGUGUUUGUGUAGAAAAGCAUUUUGUUACAAAACAAGGAAGUACAAGAAAAGUACAAAUGUAUACGGUGUCUCACAAAUGUGGGUACACCGACAUUACAAUGUAAAUACACUUUCUUUUAUGUGUAUCUGUUUUAGCUAUAUUAUUGACUUGAUUUGUGUGUUGGCUCAUAUGUAUAAAAUGUGUUCCAAAGAGAAAA